CAUCUUCAAUAAUCUCAAUACGCAGAUCUAGAAAAAGAAAAAUUGAGAGACACUGUGAGAUCUGAGCUGAGCUUCAUUCUUCAAUUACUUUCCCUUCAUCUCAAUGGCCACGGAAACAACUUCCACUAGUUCUCGUAAUCAGGGUGCUUCUGCUGCAACGCCUCAACAAGUGUUCAUGGUGGGUAACAACAAUGCAUUGGAAGAAAUUAAGGACAAGCUCACCAACUCCUCAAAAGAAAGAGAAGUCAUCUCCAUCACAGGAAUGGGAGGUAUUGGCAAGACGACUUUGGCAAAAAACGUUUAUGAAGAUAAAGACAUCAAGCGUCAUUUUGAUAUUCAAGCAUGGAUUACUGUGUCUCAAUCUUAUUCCUUGGAUGAUUUGCUCCGAGUGCUCCUCCAAUCAAUUGACGUUUCUUCUCCAACAGAAGAACAAUCUGCAGGAACCUUCGAACUCAAGGAUAAAGUCCGUAAGUUGUUGCUGGGAAAGAGAUAUCUAAUUGCAAUAGAUGACAUAUGGAGUACACAAGUUUGGGAGGAUUUGAAGAUAUGCUUCCCAUCAGAAAAGAGAAAUGGGAGUCGAGUAUUGUUGACAACUCGACUCACAAAUGUGGCUACUCAUGCUAGUUCUGGUGGUCUCCCAUUUAGCAUGCCUACCCUAAGCAAAGAAGAAAGUUGGGAUUUAUUUUGCAAAAAAGUGUUUGCAAAAGGAUCUUGUCCUCCUUCUAUUGAAUUUGAGGAAAUUGGGAGAGAUAUUGUGAUGAAAUGCAAAGGAUUACCACUCUCAAUUAUGGUGAUUGCUGGGAUUCUAUCCAAAGCUGAAAUGAAGGUGGAAGAUUGGGAAAAUGUUGCCAAAGAUGUAGCAUUAUCAUCAACUUUAUUUGAGGAGCAAAAUUGUGAGGAAAUACUUUUAUUGAGUUACAACCACUUGCCUGAAAAUCUAAAGACUUGCUUCUUAUAUUUAGGAGUAUUUCCAGAAGAUUAUGAGAUUCCAGCUCGAAGAUUAGUUGGACAUUGGGUCGUUCAGGGAUUUGUAGAAGAUGAUGAGGCUUUGGUGGCUAACAAUAAAGAAGAAGUGGCACGGCAAAAGUUGCAAGAUCUUAUUGAUAGAAAUUUAAUUUUGGUGGAGAAAAGGGGAUGGAGUGGAAGAAUAAAGACGUGUAAGAUCCAUGACCUUACACAUGAGAUGUGCUUGAGACUAGCUAAAGGUAAAAAUAUAUUGCAUAUCUACAAGUUUCAAGUUGGGCAAUCCUUCAAAGAAAUAAGUCAAGAAAAUGGCAAUUUUUGGGUAAGCCUACAAUCAAUUUCUAAUAUUAGUCGUUUAGGUUUUGACCAUAGGACACUCUAUAAAUGCCAUUCCUUUCUUGCUAUGUUUCCAUCUAAAUAUAGAUACAGAACGCGUAGAGGAAGUCGGAUCCUUACCAAUUACUUGUUGACAGCAACAUCAAUUCAAAUUGAAGAGAAUGGAAACAAGAAGCUAAGCAUCACAUGUUCUCCUACCACUUUGAAGGUAACUUUAAUUUGAUGACUCCACCAUCAUAUCAACUGAAGCAAGCACCCAUACAUACCUCUUAGCUCCCUAAACAAAUCCUAAGCUCUGUCAAUGUUGUUGUGAUUUAAGAAGCAGAACAAUAUGUAGGAAAUCUCAAGAUACAACAGAGUGGCAGGCUACAUCUCAAGCAAACUAUUAAAGGUGUCUAAGAUUGGGGUUUCAUAUGGGUAAACAUCUUCAUUGCAAACUCGGCUAGUUUCUCAGUGGAAGGCAUCACAUCCUUCACGGCAUCAUCAGCGCAGAAAUCUUGUGCCCAAUUGGCCAAACCAGGAACCUUAGCUUCAUCCACAAACUUAAUCCUGUUAAAUGUCUCGGUCACCCUUAUCCAGGCCAUAAAGCAUCCCAGUGCAAUGUCCAAGAACCCCAUUCUCUCUCCCCCAAAGAAUUUCUUCCCUUUGCUGCAACUUUGGAAGGCACCCUCCAACACCCCCAAGCCUUCUUCCACCUCACUUAUCGCUGCCUUUUUGGCUUCCUCAUCCUGAGCAGUUGCCACGGUUUGCAGCUUUGGGAACCACUGCACCACAAAAAAUUACAAUUAUGUUGGGCGGAGGCUGAUAAGAGCCAAGUCCAGCACUAUGUAACUAGGAGAAUUGUUGGGCAAGACAAGUAGGAUAACUCUCAAAAAUCUGUGGUGUAAAAAAAUUAAAUUGCUCUACCAACUGUAACUUUUAGCGUAUUGAUAAGUGUUUCAUCUUAAUAAGUAGUAUCUGGGGAUUCGAGACACAGUUUCAGUGAUUUUCCGCCAUAUGGAGCUCAUUUUCUCCGGUCAACGAAAAUCAUUUUACAUUGAAUGGGUUUUUCAGUGAUUGCCAAA